rnacentral:ncRNA from 1 species
AUUUAGAACAAACUCCGAGCAAAAGUAUCUAAGGAAUUUUUAUGAUAUUGCGCUAAAGCAUUUAUGCUUUCGGGUUAUACGGGAAACGGUAUAGCCUUCUGUUUUUGAAAAGGAGCAUUAAUUUCACAAGC